rnacentral:rRNA from 1 species
AAGUCGAACGGUAACAGGCCGCAAGGUGCUGACGAGUGGCGGACGGGUGAGUAAUACGUAGGUAUCUGCCCUGUAGUGGGGGAUAACCCGGGGAAACCCGGGCUAAUACCGCAUACGCUCUUCUAUCGUUGAGAUAGGAGAGGAAAGCGAGGGACCGAAAGGCCUCGCGCUAGAGGAUGAGCCUACGUCCGAUUAGCUAGUUGGUAGGGUAAAGGCCUACCAAGGCGACGAUCGGUAGCUGGUCUGAGAGGAUGGCCAGCCACACUGGGACUGAGACACGGCCCAGACUCCUACGGGAGGCAGCAGUGGGGAAUAUUGGACAAUGGGGGAAACCCUGAUCCAGCGAUGCCGCGUGGGUGAAGAAGGCCUGCGGGUUGUAAAGCCCUUUCAGUGGGGAAGAAAAACGGGGUGUGAACAGCGCUUCGUCUUGACGUUACCCACAGAAGAAGCACCGGCUAACUCCGUGCCAGCAGCCGCGGUAAUACGGAGGGUGCGAGCGUUAAUCGGAAUUACUGGGCGUAAAGGGCGCGUAGGCGGUUGGGUAAGUCGGGUGUGAAAGCCCUGGGCUUAACCUGGGAAUGGCAUUCGAGACUACCUAUCUAGAGUCUGGUAGAGGGAAGUGGAAUUUCCGGUGUAGCGGUGAAAUGUGUAGAUAUCGGAAGGAACACCAGUGGCGAAGGCGACUUCCUGGACCAAGACUGACGCUGAGGCGCGAAAGCGUGGGGAUCAAACAGGAUUAGAUACCCUGGUAGUCCACGCCCUAAACGAUGAGAACUGGCCGUUGGGGGAGUUAAAUCCCUUGAGUGGCUCAGCUAACGCGAUAAGUUCUCCGCCUGGGGAGUACGGCCGCA